rnacentral:lncRNA from 1 species
ACAGGCAAGAAUGACAAGGACUCAAAUGACCUUGGAAGAUCAUGUGCACAUGGCAGAGCUGCUCUCCUGGACCCUCAACGGCCCCAAGGAUCAGAGCUGCCCACAGACUGGGUUAAUUCAGUUUCCAUUUACUCAUGUGCAUGUGGAAGAAAUUUUCCCAGAAGAAAAAAAAAAGAGAAGUGGGAUGAGGAUGACCUUUUUUAAAAGCAUAAGAAAAGAAAAACACUAGAGAGGAGUUCCCAUUGUAGCUCAGCAGUCAGCGAACCCGACCAGCCUCCUUUAAAGGCUCAUUGGCUGAUAUCUCAAGAAUGGACUGGGGAAGGAGGACUUGAGUGCUUGGUGCUUUUGGUCCUUCCCUGGAAAUUGCCUGGCUGUGGCUGCAUUCCCACCCCGACUUCUCCAAGGAAGAAUCAGACAGCAAGGUGGAUGCAGUGUGAUGCCUGAACUGAGUCAGCCAUCUAGAAAAAAUAAAGAAGUCUUGUGCUGAUGAUGGAUAAGCAGAGAGAUAAAAAAAAAAUCCUGAAUCUCUGACCAUAUGCUGCUGCACUGGUACCUUGGUUCUUUUAUGUGAGUAAUAAAUACAUUUCUAAGUUGCCUAACCCAGUAGUUUUGGCAUUUUUAUCACUGUCAACAAGAUAAAUAUAGACAGAUAUAAAUAUGUCUAUAGAUAGAUACUGAUAUAUCUGUCCAUCUAUCUGCCUAGAUAGAUGUAUCUUUGCUAUGUAGAUACAUACAGUAUGCAUUCAUAUUUUUGAAUGAAUUAGGUAUUUAUCUAAAAGGAAUUGACUAAAACUUACAUAUGGUACAGAGUUAAACGGCAAGCAUCCAAAAGAUGUUAUUGAAAGCUUAAUAGUGCCAAUAUGAAGAAAGCAUUAAACAUGUUCAUCUCCCAAAGUAGUUGCAUAUGACAGAUUUCUUAAACUAGUAUCAGCACUGGAAGUGUUGCUCAGAAUUAAAGAUAUUGAACAGGUUAUCAUCUAUUGUUCCUAUGUUUCAUCAGGAAAGAAUUCACACUAGUUAGGAUAUUUUGUUUAUGCAAAUGAUUUUAUCUACAUGACUGUUGUUAGCAUUGAUUAUUAUACUCAGUGUGCUUUGUUAAUUACUUUUGUAAAAUUCUCACUUACACAAAGCUUGCAAUUGCACAAGGCAUCCAGUUUUGUGAUAUUUGACAGUUGGCCACUAGCAAUAAAACUUUAUAUGAAGACCAUGUUUUAAACCACAAAUAGAUACAACAAAAUAAUACUAACAUAAAAUCUCUAGAAAAAAAGAGACAUGCUCCUUUUUCUAGAUGAGGUUAAAUUUCUUUUGGUCUUUUUAUAUUCUAUCAGCAAACUAUAUCAUAAAUGGGUAUGAACAUGACAACAAUGUAAUGUACUUAAAUACUCCCACCAGCUCCAAUAUAAUACAACAAUUUCUUUAAAAAAAUCAUGACAUGGAUUUUAAACUUCUUUUAUAGUUAUCAUUCUUUGUUAUUUAACAUUAUCGUGCAUGACAUAUACAUAUAUAUUUUUAUUAUAGUUGAUUUAUAAUGUUCUGUCAAUUUAUGCUAUACAGCAAAGUGACCCAGUCAUACACAUAUACAUUCUUUUUCUCAUAUUAUCUUCCAUCAUAUUUUAUCACAACUGACUGAAUAUAGUUCCCUGUGCUGUACAGCAGGACCUCAUUGCUUAUCCAUUCUAAAUAUAAUAGUUUUCCUCUAGUAACCCAAACUCUCUGUCCAUCUCAUUCCUUCCCCCCACCACAGCAACCACAAGUCUGCUCUCCAUGUCUGUUGAGUCUGUUUCUAUUCUGUAGAUAGGUUCAUUUGUACCAUAUAUUAGAUUCCAUAUAUAAGUGAUAUCAUAUGGUAUUUGCCUUUCUCUUUCUGACUUGCUUCACUUAGUAUGAGAAUCUCUAGUUGCAUCCAUGUUGCUGCAAAUGGCAUUAUUUCAUUUGAUUUAUAUAUAUUGUACAUUCUAUAAAAUAUGACUUGAAUCUGAUAACAUGCAGUAAAUUAAAUGCAAAAUCCCAAAAUUAAAUUUUACAAUUUAGAGUUUGAAGAGAACUGAGAGACACUGUAACCCAAUUUCCCAACCAAGGCAUAAAUAACCUUCAAAGUAUAUUUUUCAAUAACUAGUUAAUUAUUGUACAGGCAAUAGUUUUCAAAAGUGGACACAUCUAUUUAUUGGAAAAUUACUUUUGGUUAUGAAAGUAAUAUCAUCUUCCAGAAAUUUCCACACUCUUGAGCACAAAUUGAAAUCAACCUCUUCUUUGCUCCACUUGAGAACCUUCUGAACUCUUGAAGAUAUAAUAUACUUCAUCUUUGUCUUUAAUCACAUAUCGCAGUCCUAAUAUGUCCCAUUGAACCUUUUGCGACAUGAUCUAUGACAUGAUUUUCAGGCCCUUUCCAUCUCUUCUACCUUAAAGGAUAAAAUAUUCCUAACCAAGUUUCCCACACCACAAAUACUUUAGACUUUGGCCUUCUUGAAUCUUAGAGGUUUACAAGCACAAGAUACUUAUAUAAAGUUGGUUCCUCAUUAGAUUGUUUCUUGAGAGCAGAAACCAUUAGUUUUAGUCAACUUGGGCUCCUAUAAUAAAAUUCCAUAGACUGGAUGGCUUAAAUGGAGACAUUUGUUUAUCACAGUUCUAGACGUUGCAAAUUCCAGGGUACCAGCAGAUUUGGUUCUUGAUGAGGGCCUUCUUCCUGGCUUACAAAGGGCUGACAUCUUGCUGUGUGCUGUGUGCUCACAUGGCUUUUCCUCGGUAUCUAUGUGCAAAGAGAGAGUUCUUUCAUCUCUUCAUCUUACAAGGAUACCACUUCCAUAAAGGCACCACCCUUAAGUCAUGAGACUUAAUCUAAGUCCCCUCCCAGGUCCCACCCCUACAUACCAUCAUACUGGGAGUUAGUGCUUAUAAAUUUGGGAGGGACACAAACAUUCAGUCCAUAAAACAUCAUUCCUAUAUCGAUCUUUAUAUGGCUAGAGUGGAAUCUGGCACAAGCAGAUACUCAAUAAUGGAAUGAAGUUUCAUAAUUUAUAUUGUCAAAAGUUUUCUUAGGCUGUGACUACUUAAAGAUAAGGGUUAUAUUUUAAAUGGAUCAUUACCUAGAAUACUGUGAUAACUCCUUAAACAAUCAAGCUGACUGUCAAGCAUCAUUGAAGAAAAAGAAGAAUUUUUAAAGAUGAGAUCUCCAUAAUUACAGGCAAAGGGUCAGAAUUUAAUCAUAUCUCCUAGUUCUCUUACAGUUGAAACCUAGGUUAAGUCUGUAUUUUAUCCAUAAAACUCUUACCUUUAAUAUAAACUAACUUUUUUUGAACAAAAAUAUAAGGUCAGAGCAACUCUCUAGUCAUUGCUGCUUUGUCACUAUACCAGUAUAAAUUAUUGCUGAAUCCCAUCAUUAUUCAUCCAAGUGGGUAGUCUCUGGGAAGUCAAUGAAUAGUUUAUUAUUUCUUUCUAAAGGGAAGAUAGGUUCAAGUUCUCAAUGAAGAAUCAUUGUUUUUUUAUCAUUUAGAUUAAAAACAAAAAUAUUCAAAACUUGAUUCUUCUUUGGGAAAUUGCUUGAGUCAUGUUCCUAUUUCCAUAUUGAUUCAUGGCUGUUAAAACUUUUUUGUUUUUUCAGUUCAGUACCCCUAAAGAUAUAUUAAUUGUGGUCUUCUACAAAAGGAAUUUUCUAAAGGAGAACAAGGAAAGAAUAAACUAAUAUAUGUGAUCUGCAAAACCUCUCCAAGUGAUUCUGACAAAUAACUUUCAACACCUUCCCUCAAGCUGAAAUCCUACACAGAAUUGUGUAGGGUUUCAAACUAAAAAGUAUUCUGUUUUCACAUUAAACUCUAUAACCCUAUAGAGAGCCAAAGCACUAUUCUCAUUGUUAUUGUUGUUAUGUUGACCAGGAAAGAUAGGUACACAUCUAAAUAUUAGCCCAAUGAAAGUAAUAUUCAGUAUGACAUAUACUUUGAUAGAAAGAUAGAAAGAAAGCAGGCUAGUAACCAACAUGUAUUAAUUGAGAAAUAGAGUAAUCAAUCAAAGCAAGCUGUAAAAUCUUGGUGUGCUACAAAGUCUCUGCCUCUAAAAUUGAACUUUAAAUUUGAGUGUGCAUGCAUUGAACAAUGAUCAAUGCUUUCAUGGCAGAUGUCAUCAUCUGAAUACACAAUUGUAAGCAUCAGUCUCCAUGAGGCCUGAGCAAGUGUUACUGUUGUUGAUGCUUUCCAAAAGUGAGGUGGAAACAGCUUUUUGUUUAAAAUGAAGGGAUUUGUAUGUAAUAACCCAAGAAAACCCACCAUUUGCAAAUAGUAUUGGCAUUUUCUGUCAAGUCAUGAAGAAUGAUUUAGGAUUUUUGUUUCUGGGAAGUAAGCAGACUUGAGGGAAUUUUUUUUUUUUCUCUUAGCUAGUCUUAUAAUGAAUGCCUUAAUCGUUAGGAAACCCAUUUAAAAUAUUUUACUUGCAAUUUCCUGAAAACAGCCAUGGUUCUAUACUGAAAACCUUCUAGGGAAGCCUUUAUUUUAUGACAGGAAAAUAAUAAAUAAUGCCCAUAUGCUAGAAGAUGGAGGCUGAGAUAGGAUGAAGUUCAGAGGAAUUUUUUCUAAGGCAGGAGUGAAGAAAUUAUGCAGACAUUAUUGGCCAGUACAAUUUGGAACUCUAUAUGGGCAACCACGUGAACAGUGUCUCUACAAAACUGAAGGUCAUUUAGGUUUCAGGAAAAGUAAACGAAAUAUAAACUGAAAUUGAAUGCUGCUUCUCUUUUAUAAUGAGAAUUUUUUAAAGGACGUACUUUAUUGUCAAUAAUUUGUCCCAGGAAAACGUGACUUAGAAGUUCCUGUCAUGGCGCAGUGGUUAAUGAAUCCGACUAGGAACCAUGAGGCUGUGGUUCGAUCCCUGGCUUGGCUCAGUGGGUUAAGGAUCCGGCAUUGUCGCGAGCUGUGGUGUAGGUCCCAGACAUAGCUCGGAUCCCACGUUGCUGUGGCUCUGGCAUAGGCCAGCGGCUACAGCUCUGAUUAGACCCCUAGCCUGGGAACCACCAUAUGCCAUGUGAAACGGCCCUAGAAAAGGCAAAAAGACAAAAAAAAAAAGUGACUUAGAAAAAAAUGAGAAUUUCUGCCUUGCCCAUAGAUCCUCAAUAUCUCUUCAUUAUUGGCACUUUGCUAUCAUCACUGGUGUCCCUAUCUCAGCCCCUUGAGCACAUCCUUCACUAGGGCCACUGCUGCUACCUGCAGCCCUUCUCACCUUGAGCUGUUUGAUGAUCUCUUGUCCUCCACUCCCAGAGCCACUGUUUGGGAAGCUACUGCCACUAAUUCCUCAGUCUCAGCAAUAACCAUUAAAUAUGGUAUAAAAAGCAUUAUUCUUUUUCUCAUAUAUUCUUCAAGUCAAUACUUUUAACUAUCACAGAUUAUGAAAUGAUUCUUUUUAAAUAUAGUUAUAACAUCACUUAUAAAAUGGAUUUCUGCUACAAGAGAUUUAUUUAUUAAUAUCAACUUUCUAAAACUAGCUUCACUUUGACCAGGCUGUGGAUCAGUAAGACCCAGAAUCUUUCACUUUACAAGACCUCACCCCUAAGACCACAUGGCAAGUCUCCUUGUCUAAAUUCUCUGCUUGGGUUACUGUGCUUAAUUCCACCCUUUUGCAUCCUGGCCACAGGCUUCUUUCUUCUGUGGUGAUUAUGAACAGCCUGGAGGCAAACUACUUAGGCUGGCAUUUACCUCUGUCAGUUAUUUAUUGUAUAAAAAAAAUCCAUCUCCUCAUUUGGCAAAAUGCAACUAGAAUUAUAUUGAGAGUUAAAUGAGUUAAUACAUGAAACAUAAUUAGAACAAUGCCAGAUACAUAUUGUUAUACCCAUAAGAACAAACACACAUCACCAUGGUACUUGGAAAUUAAUUCCAGUGUGGAAUGAAGGAUUAAAAAUUCUAAAAAACUAGAAUAGAAGUCACAGUGCUGACCCUGGAGAAGUGAUAGAGGUGUGGUGGAAAGAAGGUCUAUUAGGAGCUAGUUGUGUAAAAAAGAUGUAGCUAAGAAAGUGGUCAUAAGUGAAAGUAGAAGAACACAGUUUAUUAAAAACUGUGAGUGUGUUGACUAAUACGGAGUUCAGAAUCGCAGCAGGUCAGGAGUAUUUUUAGAAAAUGACAUAUGAGAGAAGAAAAAUUAAUUACAUUUUGCAAACUAGCAUAUUCAACAAAAUAAGAAGAAAUGAAGAUAGGUGGCCUAGAGGGCUGUUUUGUAGUGGGUUUUAUUUAAAAUGUUUAAAUAACUCUGAAAGAAUUCUAGAUAGUGAGUGACGAGAGAGCAAUCUAAAACAGAUGCAUUGCAAAAUGCAAGAGUAAAGGCAGAGGCAAAGUGAAUUUGCCUUUUCUAAAUACAUUUUGGGGUCUGUCUGUGGCUGUCCUUAUUUAGUUGGAUCAUGAAGAAUCACAUGACAAGUCUGGAUUCAUUUAUGACAAAAGUAUUAAAAGUAAGUGUUAAGUAAAAAUUACACGAAAAAAAUAGGACAGCAGAAUUUGUUCAAAGCUGAGGGGAGGAAGAAAAUAGUUGUAUCUUUUUUUAGGCAGGAAAUCGUGAUGGAGUUUUCAGGGAGAGUUGAGGGGAAAGUUGUCUGGAGAAAAGAUUGUUUAGGAAAGAGGUAAGUGAAGUAUAUCCUGGAGAAGGUGUCUUGUGCAAAAAAAAAAAAAAAAAAAAAAAAAAAG